rnacentral:tRNA from 1 species
CGGAGUAUAGCGUAGCGGCUUAACGCGCCUGCUUUGGGAGCAGGAGAUCCUGGGUUCAAAUCCCAGUACUCCGA